rnacentral:rRNA from 1 species
UGGGGAAUAUUGCACAAUGGGCGAAAGCCUGAUGCAGCAACGCCGCGUGAGUGAUGAAGGUCUUCGGAUUGUAAAGCUCUGUCUUUUGGGACGAUAAUGACGGUACCAAAGGAGGAAGCCACGGCUAACUACGUGCCAGCAGCCGCGGUAAUACGUAGGUGGCGAGCGUUGUCCGGAUUUACUGGGCGUAAAGGGUGCGUAGGCGGAUGUUUAAGUGAGAUGUGAAAUACCCGGGCUUAACUUGGGUGCUGCAUUUCAAACUGGAUAUCUAGAGUGCAGGAGAGGAGAAUGGAAUUCCUAGUGUAGCGGUGAAAUGCGUAGAGAUUAGGAAGAACACCAGUGGCGAAGGCGAUUCUCUGGACUGUAACUGACGCUGAGGUACGAAAGCGUGGGUAGCAAACAGGAUUAGAUACCCUGGUAGUCCACGCCGUAAACGAUGAGUACUAGGUGUAGGAGGUAUCGACCCCUUCUGUGCCGCAGUAAACACAUUAAGUACUCCGCCUGGGAAGUACGAUCGCAAGAUUAAAAC